rnacentral:rRNA from 1 species
CAGUCGCCGCGGUAAUACGGAGGGUGCAAGCGUUAAUCGGAAUUACUGGGCGUAAAGCGUGCGUAGGCGGUUCGUUAAGUCUGUUGUGAAAGCCCCGGGCUCAACCUGGGAAUGGCAAUGGAUACUGGCGAGCUAGAGUGUGUCAGAGGAUGGUGGAAUUCCCGGUGUAGCGGUGAAAUGCGUAGAGAUCGGGAGGAACAUCAGUGGCGAAGGCGGCCAUCUGGGACAACACUGACGCUGAGGCACGAAAGCGUGGGGAGCAAACAGGAUUAGAUACCCCGGUAGUCCCUGUCUCUUAUAC